GCCCCAGUGGCUUAAUGGUCUACGAGUUCGCCUUGCAACCGGAAAAACCUGGGUUCGAACCCCGGCUGGUGCG
rnacentral:tRNA from 1 species